GGGUUUGUGGCUCAGCGGUAGAGCGCUUGCCUCGUAUGUGCAAGGGACCCUGGGUUUGAUCCUCAGCACCA
rnacentral:tRNA from 1 species